UGAAGAGUUUGAUCAUGGCUCAGAUUGAACGCUGGCGGCAGGCCUAACACAUGCAAGUCGAACGGUAACAUUUCUAGCUUGCUAGAAGAUGACGAGUGGCGGACGGGUGAGUAAUGCUUGGGAACUUGCCUUUGCGAGGGGGAUAACAGUUGGAAACGACUGCUAAUACCGCAUAAUGUCUUCGGACCAAACGGGGCUUUUAGCUCCGGCGCAAAGAGAGGCCCAAGUGAGAUUAGCUAGUUGGUAAGGUAACGGCUUACCAAGGCGACGAUCUCUAGCUGUUCUGAGAGGAAGAUCAGCCACACUGGGACUGAGACACGGCCCAGACUCCUACGGGAGGCAGCAGUGGGGAAUAUUGCACAAUGGGGGAAACCCUGAUGCAGCCAUGCCGCGUGUGUGAAGAAGGCCUUCGGGUUGUAAAGCACUUUCAGUGAGGAAGAAAGCCUUGAGGUUAAUACCCUCGAGGGAGGACAUCACUCACAGAAGAAGCACCGGCUAACUCCGUGCCAGCAGCCGCGGUAAUACGGAGGGUGCGAGCGUUAAUCGGAAUUACUGGGCGUAAAGCGCGCGUAGGCGGCUUGAUAAGCCGGUUGUGAAAGCCCCGGGCUCAACCUGGGAAUUGCACCCGAUACUGGCCGACUGGAGUGCGAGAGAGGGAGGUAGAAUUCCACGUGUAGCGGUGAAAUGCGUAGAUAU
rnacentral:rRNA from 1 species